GCCUGGGUGGCUCAAUGGUUGAGCAUCUGUCUUUGGCUCAGGUCGUGAUUCGGGGUCCUGGGAUCAAGUCCCACAUCAGGCU
rnacentral:tRNA from 1 species